UCUUCCUCUUUGAAGACAAGUCCUAUAGUAAGCAAAGUCUAUAUACACAUGUGUGUUUAGCUUCGCAUGAAGAAAAGUUAAUGAAUAUAUCUUGCAACUCCCUCAACAAACAAAGUAUUUCUUAAUAAAUAAACAGCUGGCACACCCUGUAGAUGGAAACAAGAAAUCCCGAGCUAAAAAAUAUGUACAAUAAAAUUUAUACGCUAUGUAUUUGUAAUGAAGAAAACUUUGAAUAUAAAAAGCCAAAUUUUUAAUGGGACAUAUGAA
rnacentral:lncRNA from 1 species